rnacentral:rRNA from 1 species
CAGUCGCCGCGGGAAUACGUAGGGUGCAAGCGUUAAUCGGAAUUACUGGGCGUAAAGCGUGCGCAGGCGGUGUUGUAAGACUGAUGUGAAAUCCCCGGGCUCAACCUGGGAACUGCAUUGGUGACUGCAAUGCUGGAGUGCGGCAGAGGGGGAUGGAAUUCCGCGUGUAGCAGUGAAAUGCGUAGAUAUGCGGAGGAACACCGAUGGCGAAGGCAAUCCCCUGGGCCUGCACUGACGCUCAUGCACGAAAGCGUGGGGAGCAAACAGGAUUAGAUACCCCAGUAGUCCCUGUCUCUUAUAC